rnacentral:lncRNA from 1 species
GUGUAUUUCUUUUUCUUUUUUUGAGGCGAAAUACUUGUGUAUUUCAAUUAAAAAAUAAAUAAAUAACCUUUAACUAACAAAAUAAACUCUAGAUUACUUCUAUUUUAAACACUAUUCCUUCAUCAACUGCUCUCCCUCCCUCCCGUCCGGUGCCGCUGUAGCCUGCCACCCUCGAGUCUCGACUGCCGCACACCACCGCCCGCUUCCAUUGCCUCCUUCACCAGCCCAGCGUCUCUUCCCUUCGGCGAACAGUUGCUCGUCUGAAAUAGCCGCACCCGUGUCUUCGCUCGUCAACUCGCCGUCCACCACCAUCGUUGUCAGCAUCAGAAGCCACGGCCACCGGAGACGACUAGCCUCCUCAGCCACCACAGCCAUCAGCUCCUCGGCCUAAGGUUAAUUCUUUUACCUCAAAUUAGGGCUCUAAUAGCUAAUUUCGAAUUAGGGCUCCAAAUUUCGAAUUUCUUUUGUUUUGUGUAAUUGUGGUUGUGUGGAUGCUGUAAAAUUCAAAUUAGGGCAUUGAAUUUUGAAUUUAUUUUGUUUUGUGUAAUUGAGGCUUUGGUGGCUGAAUUUUGAAUUUAUAUUUUAGUAAGUUUCAUCAUCAUCACAUAUCUAUGUAAGUUUUGUUUGCAUUCCAGGCCUUGAUUGAUGUGGAGUUGCUGAAAGUAUUUGUUCGUACUUUGAACAGUGUGUGCCAACGAAUUUUCUACUGUACAAUAACAUAGCUCAGGUAUGCUUCGUGUCUGAAUUUGUAAAUCAUUCUAAAAGCAAUGCUAAUUUAAUUGAUCACAUGACAUGGUAGAGUUGAAUUAUAUAAUUAAAUAAUUUGAUUUCUUGGCUUAUUGUUUCUUGAGGAUUCGGACCCCUGUUUUGUGAACCUUUAGAAUAUCUGGUUUCUUGGUUGCUUUUAGUCUUCUAACCUAAUGUAUGGAAAGUCGUAAACUAAGUUAGAUUAUAGUUGGGGUUUUGCAUUAACCGACUUUUGAUGGAUUGUGAUUAAAAAACUUGAUUUUGGAUUGGGUAACUAUUGCUAUCUGUUAUUACAUAAAGCAUGGUGUAUUGGAAGAACUUCUAUGAAGAAUGGACUGCAAAUCUGUAAAAAGAACUUCAGAAUUAAUGCCUAAGUUGAGGAAGCUAAUUUUGUAACCUUGGGAUUGAGGAAGCUCCAACACCAGAAUUUUUUAUGCGAGAAAAAAUUAAAUAAAUUUGUAAAGUUGGGAUAUGUAAAAGAGUAUAUUAAAGUUGAGUUGUUUUCAAUCGUGUGGUAAUAUUUUCUCAUUCCAUAACUGCUGUUUAGUUGUGAUGCACCGUUUCUUACCAAUUCAUUAAUUGUUUAGUUGAGUUUUAAACAAGAAAUUUGGGAAGCUUUAAUGGAAUGGUAGAAAACAAAUAUGAGCAUGUUAUCUUUCAUUUUGGACAUCCUAUACUGCUUGGAACAUAAAAUUUUAUUGCAAAUCACUGUUGUAAUUCGUAGUGAGUUUGUGUGGCGAUGAAUGUGGUAGGCCAAACAACAACUCCAACAUCUGUUUUAAUAUGAUUUUUUUGUUAUGUGUGGGAGUUUCUAUUUGGGUAGUCAAGAUGUCGAAAGAUACUUGAUGGAGGCAUAUUACUCAUUUGAUUUAUGUAUAAUGUCAAGCAAGGAAGUAAUAUAAGUAUUCUAUUAAAUACUAAAAUUCAGAAGAAAAAAAAUGAGUCUAUGCCAUUUAAAUACAUAAAAAUAAAUUUCUAAGAUUAAAAUAAUAUUAAUAUUGGUUUUAGCUUAUAUUAUUAUUGAUGGUCUUAUUUUGUUUUCUUACUUGCAGUUGCAAUCUUUGUGAAGACUAUUACUUGAAAGACGAUUACUAUUGAGGGUGAAAGCAAUCUUGCAGUUCUGGUAACUUGUUGAACUUUAUCCUAUUUCCUUGCAUGUUGCUAGAUAGCCCGAUUGGUGGCUUUAGGAAUGAAGUUUGUGUAUAUAUUUCUAUGCUUACGAAUAGUAGAAAUUGGUGGUUAGGAUUGGUGGUUAGGUAUGAAAUUACUUAUGUUCAAUGUUUAUUGAAGAUUAUAUGUUAGCUUUAUAGUCAUAUUAUAUCUUUUUAUAUCUUAAAGUUGUCGUAUUUUAUUUUGCUCAUGUAGGUUCAAGCGAGUUGGAUGGUUGAUUUGUCGGAUGAUUGGUGUGGUGGCGAAUGAAGGUGUAAUUAGUUGGAGGUUUUAUUAGAAUUUUUUUAGUAGAUAAAUAAAGGCGUAGUUAGAUUAGAUACAACUAUGGAUGUAAAUAUUUGAUUAUGAGUUUACGAGUAUUGUUUGAUAUUUGUUAGUUGUUUAUGAGUAUUGUUUGAUUAUUCAUUUAAGUAUUUUAAUUUUGUCAUAUAUAUUGGUAUUAUAAAACAGGGAUGUAAAUAUAUUAAUUUUUU